rnacentral:rRNA from 1 species
UACGAAGGGGGCUAGCGUUGCUCGGAAUUACUGGGCGUAAAGGGCGCGUAGGCGGAUAGUUUAGUCAGAGGUAAAAGCCCAAGGCUCAACCUUGGAACUGCCUUUGAUACUGGGGAUCUCGAGUCCGGAAGAGGUUGGUGGAACUGCGAGUGUAGAGGUGAAAUUCGUAGAUAUUCGCAAGAACACCAGUGGCGAAGGCGGCCAACUGGUCCGGUACUGACGCUGAGGUGCGAAAGCGUGGGGAGCGAACAGG